UACGUAGGUGGCGAGCGUUGUCCGGAUUUAUUGGGCGUAAAGCGCGCGCAGGCGGUGCGGUAAGUCUGUCGUGAAAUCUCCCGGCUCAACUGGGAGGGUGCGGUGGAGACUGCCGGACUGGAGGCACUCAGAGGCCGGUGGAAUUCCCGGUGUAGUGGUGAAAUGCGUAGAGAUCGGGAGGAACACCAGUGGCGAAGGCGGCCGGCUGGGGGCGCCCUGACGCUGAGGCGCGAGAGCGUGGGGAGCGAGCCGG
rnacentral:rRNA from 1 species